GAUACACAUGCAGUCGAGCGGAACGACACUAACAAUCCUUCGGGUGCGUUAAUGGGCGUCGAGCGGCGGACGGGUGAGUAAUGCCUAGGAAAUUGCCUUGAUGUGGGGGAUAACCAUUGGAAACGAUGGCUAAUACCGCAUGAUGCCUACGGGCCAAAGAGGGGGACCUUCGGNCCUCUCGCGUCAAGAUAUGCCUAGGUGGGAUUAGCUAGUUGGUGAGGUAAUGGCUCACCAAGGCGACGAUCCCUAGCUGGUCUGAGAGGAUGAUCAGCCACACUGGAACUGAGACACGGUCCAGACUCCUACGGGAGGCAGCAGUGGGGAAUAUUGCACAAUGGGCGAAAGCCUGAUGCAGCCAUGCCGCGUGUAUGAAGAAGGCCUUCGGGUUGUAAAGUACUUUCAGUUGUGAGGAAGGGGGUGUNGUUAAUAGCNACAUCUCUUGACGUUAGCAACAGAAGAAGCACCGGCUAACUCCGUGCCAGCAGCCGCGGUAAUACGGAGGGUGCGAGCGUUAAUCGGAAUUACUGGGCGUAAAGCGCAUGCAGGUGGUUCAUUAAGUCAGAUGUGAAAGCCCGGGGCUCAACCUCGGAACUGCAUUUGAAACUGGUGAACUAGAGUACUGUAGAGGGGGUAGAAUUUCAGGUGUAGCGGUGAAAUGCGUAGAGAUCUGAAGGAAUACCAGUGGCGAAGGCGG
rnacentral:rRNA from 1 species